rnacentral:rRNA from 1 species
AAAGCGCCUGUAGGUUGUUUAAUAAGUCUGUUGUUAAAGACUAGGGCUCAACCCUAGAAAAGCAAUGGAUACUACUAGACUAGAGUAUGGCAGGGGUAGAGGGAAUUUCUAGUGUAGCGGUGAAAUGCGUAGAUAUUAGAAAGAACACCGGUGGCGAAAGCGCUCUACUGGACCAUUACUGACACUCAGAGGCGAAAGCUAGGGUAGCAAAAGGGAUUAGAUACCCCUGUAGUCCUAGCCGUAAACGAUGGAUACUAGAUGUUGUAUUUAUUUUACAGUAUCGUAGCUAACGCGUUAAGUAUCCCGCCUGGGGAGUACGCUCGCAAGGGUGAAACUCAAAGGAAUUGACGGGGGCCCGCACAAGCGGUGGAGCAUGUGGUUUAAUUCGAUGCAACGCGAAGAACCUUACCAGGGCUUGACAUACUGCGAAUCUCCUUGAAAGGGGAGAGUGCCUUCGGGAAUGCAGAUACAGGUGGUGCAUGGCUGUCGUCAGCUCGUGUCGUGAGAUGUUGGGUUAAGUCCCGCAACGAGCGCAACCCUUGUUUUUAGUUACCAAUUCGUUGGGUUUUCUAGAAAGACUGCCGGUGACAAACCGGAGGAAGGUGAGGAUGACGUCAGUCAGCAUGCCCCUUAUGUCCUGGCUACACACGUGCUACAUGGUUAGGACAAAGAGUGGCAGUUUGCAAAAACAAGCUA